rnacentral:rRNA from 1 species
UACGGAGGGUGCGAGCGUUGUCCGGAAUCAUUGGGCGUAAAGGGCGCGUAGUUGGCCCGGUCAGUUCGUGGUGAAAGCGCGGGGCUCAACUCCGCGUCGGCCAUGAAUACUGCUGGGCUUGAGCACUGUAGAGGCUCAUGGAAUUCCGGGUGUAGCGGUGGAAUGCGUAGAGAUCCGGAAGAACACCGGUGGCGAAGGCGGUGAGCUGGGCAGUAGCUGACACUGAGGCGCGACAGCGUGGGGAGCAAACAGG